CCUACGGGUGGCUGCAGUCGAGAAUCAUUCACAAUGGGGGAAACCCUGAUGGUGCGACGCCGCGUGGGGGAAUGAAGGUCUUCGGAUUGUAAACCCCUGUCAUGUGGGAGCAAAUUAAAAAGAUAGUACCACAAGAGGAAGAGACGGCUAACUCUGUGCCAGCAGCCGCGGUAAUACAGAGGUCUCAAGCGUUGUUCGGAACCACUGGGCGUAAAGCGUGAGUAGGCUGUUUCGUAAGUCGUGUGUGAAAGGCGCGGGCUCAACCCGCGGACGGCACAUGAUACUGCGAGACUAGAGUAAGGGAGGGGGAACCGGAAUUCGCGGUGUAGCAGUGAAAUGCGUAGAUAUCGAGAGGAACACUCGUGGCGAAGGCAGGUUCCUGGACAUUAACUGACGCUGAGGCACGAAGGCCAGGGGAGCGAAAGGGAUUAGAUACCCCAGUAGUC
rnacentral:rRNA from 1 species